CUCAUUUGUUUGUUUUGUUUGCAGAAGCCCUGCAGGCUCUCUUCAAAGCCUCUGAAAGAUAAUAGUUGACCAGAAGGUGAAACCUGGGAAAAGCUGCAUGAAGUCUGCAAAGAGCUAAGUAGCAGUUGAUUUGUUUAACUUCAUUUGCUUCUUUCACAUUUCUUACAAGCCCUAGGUGGCCUCCUGGUGUUAUCUACUAGCUCUGCCCUAAACAGUGGGUCCUUAGCCAAAGCCAGCAGCCAAAGUAAAAGUGGCCAGCUCUGCUGACACGACCACAUGCCUGUCUGUGAUCUGCCCAAAAGCUACCCAUAACAGCAGGGAUGUAGGUUGUAGCCGUGUUGGUCUAAGGACAUAGGCAGACAAGGUUCCUUGGGUGAAUCUGAUAUCUUUUAUUAGACCAACCCAAAUAGAGCACACACUAACUGCUGAAACUUCCUUAGCCUGAUGAAGGGUUUUUGAACCCAAAAGCUUGCUUAAUAACUAUUCUCCAACUAUUUGGGUUGGUCUAAUAAAAGAUAUCAGAUUCACUCAAGGAACCUUGUCUACCCAUAACAGCAUACGUUUACAUCAUUUUGGGGCAAUACAAAUGGACACAAUGGAACAUACCAAAUGAUGAUCCAUCCAGCAAUCAUCUGUGCUAGUCAUGGCUCUGGUGAUUAUGGAUAUUGCAACUGUUCUAGGCAUGCACAAUGAUGUAAUCAAGUGCCAGUGUUUUGAGUGGGGGUGCAUCCAUGAUGUCUUCCUUCUUUCCUUUUGGUGGAAAAGGAGUUCAUGAUGGUGAGGUUAUAUUCUGCAUGCUUGCUCAGGAGAAUUCUAUUUGAAUUGACUUUCCCCACCCCUUCCUUUCCAAGUGUUCCUUUCCACAGCUUAGAGUCCCUGCCCACUCUGGCUAGGGACAGGCAUUCAAAAAGUCUGAGCCUGAAUUGAUUCAAUCUUUGCAGGUUAGUCUAACCUGGGUAGGCUGAACCAGUUUGUAACUGGACAGACAUUCUGUCUGAAAUUUAGGCACAUGCCUGUAGUGGCUCAGGCUAGAAGCCAGGGGAUGCUAGAGAGCCUUCUCUUCCCUUACACAGAGCUGAACUGAGCGGGGCAUGGCCAGGCCCAGGCCCAGGCAGGAUGCUCUGAUUAGGGAGGUCUGCCUGCAGCAUCCCAGGCUUUUACCUGCUGGCUGCUCAAGGGGCAGCAGUGUUGCCAGCCCCCAGCCCCCUGCUAGCACUCUGAGGCAGGGUGUGUGUGCAGUGUAUGCAUCUGUUGAUGAAAUGGAGCUUUUCAAUCUCCCUCUCCCCUGCUUCUUUAUACUGUCUGCAGCAAACUAACAGGUGAGCAAGCUAGCAGGGAGCUGAUAAGUGUUUAUCACCCCAUCAGCAAAACAAUACCCUCUCUCCAUUAAUUCAAACUCUUCUUAAACAGCUUACUGACUGACCUGUUGAUUAGCUCCCAAAAGUCCUAAGGGGUCACUGUUCUGUCUGCCUGCCCCACUAAAAUUGAAGAUGCACAGAGACAUCUCUCAGCAUUAGCUAGCAUACUACAUGCCUAUGGUCCAUGGGGCUAGGGUCUGUGCUGUGGGAGAUAGGAGGGAGGGAGUGGAUCCCUGCUUGUCCAGCAAGCAGUGAGGUGGGGUAGGACAGGGGGAAGCCUAGCAGACCCUGCUGUACCUGCAGUCUCUACCAGAGCUCCAGCCAGGGAGCAGAGGGGAGGGGCCAGCCCUGCUGUGGAGCAGAGAGUCCCCCCCAACCCAGAAAACAUGCCAGGAUGCUGUGGGAGUCUGGUUUAUGUUAAAACAGCAAGGGGUCUGGGACAGACAUUGCCUAAACUGGUUUGAGCUAAAUCAGUUAAGUCUCAUACUACAUUGAACCAGGUUUCUCUCAAACUGGUUUCAGCCAUUUUCAAACUGGUUUAUGUGCACUGAACAUCUGUUCUGUUACAGGUUUAAACUAGUUUCUGAUCACUUAAACAGGUUUAUGUGUAGUGUCUGUCCCUAGCCCCUAGCACUGAAAUUGCCAAGAAUUGUCUUAUUUUCUUUGAAGACAGAUGACAGGACUUGAUUGAGUUUAGAAUAACAUUUUUCUUUUGUUUCAUCGUCUGCAUCUAGGGCUAGGGUAUAUGCACUGAUGACUGUUGCAUGUUGUCUGCUGGUCAGUUGUAGACAAAGGAUCAUGAGAUGAAGGAUCCAGUGAAGCCCAUAGUGGCGGAACCGUAACAGCACAUCACAAUAGGUCCCCACUCCCCAUGUAUUUGGAAGAACUUUGGAGCUUAAUUACUAAAUAGCUAGCUUGUGACUGGGCAUUGUCACUCUCCAGGUCAGUGUGCAGCAAGAGAUCCAUAUUCCCUCCACUGUGGUGAAAGGUAAGAACAACUUGAGGUAAGAGGAAAUGAAGUUUAGAGGAGAACCAGAGGAUAUGUGACAGCAAGAGACAACAGCCUGGAAGUUGUUGCAGAUGCCAGCUUGAUGGAGACUAGCCACAGCAACGAGGUUGCGGCCAGCAAGCAACCAAAUAGCGUAGAAAGGGAAGCAACACUGCAGUAUAUUAGUCUUCUGAAGUUCAGUGCUUCCAAGCUCUAGGUUGAGAACUUUGGGGGCUUUUUUCUUUGCUUGUUGUUUUUGCCUAACAAUUUAAAAAAAAUGUUGAGGCCAGGACAUUUGGGCCUUUAAUUUUUGGUAACCUUAGUAAAGAAACAUCCUACAUGUGAAAGCAUUUCCUGGGAAACUAAUAAAGUCUUGAAUCUAAGGGGUCCAGUGUUUUAUACCAUCCUACAGUGCAUGCUGCCGAGAUAUGGGAGGCUGGUGUGCCAUAGCAUACAUGUUGUCAGUCAGCUGUGAGGUUGCUGCAAUAAUGAAAGAUGAAGGAAAUAGACUGAAUUCUGCAUCUCUUACUCAUGUGAGUAAUUUAUGGUAAAGCCAGUGGGAAUAUUUGCAUGAGUGCAAGAACACUGCAAGAUCAGAUGACAGGGCUCUUUGGUUACUGAGGAGGUGCAAAAUGAAGCUUCAAUUAUAGAAUCUUCUCAUUUUCUCAGUAACAGCUUUCAAAAGUAGAUGGAGAGGGCAGGAAGGGAUUAAAUAACUGCCUGUGCCUCCAUAUAGUGAAUGGUUCUUACAUAACUAUCACUGGAGAACUUGAAAAUGAGUAGAGCAGUAGUUAUGCAUCUGCUGUAACUUUUACUUUUCAAAUAAUAAGAAGAAUUUUUUUAAGCUGGGCAUUAUUUUCAUCAUAUCAUAUAGUUGCCAAAGCUAUGAAGAAGCAAGUUUAAAGAAAAUUUUAAAUUGGAAGAGAUCUAAAAUGUUUCAGGCCUCAAGAUUUAAUACCUUAUGCCAAUUGCAAUAUUUGCUUUUGCCUCUUGUCUUUGUGAGAUGUCCUUAGACUUAAGAAUGUGAUUUUUUGAUUUUUCUUAUGUUCUAGACAGUUUUAUCCAACCUUUCUUGGCUCUGGCCUUAAACUUUAUUCAUUUAUUGAUCUCAGGCUUACUUGGGUUUCCCACAUACAGCGGGGUUGGGUGGGGGGGGAGGGUUGCAAAUAUUUAACUGUUUCACUCCUUCCUGUGAGUUAGCAUGCUAACCUGUGGCUUGCUGUGCAGGGCAAGCUCACCAGUGGGUUCAUGGUCACUGACGAUGGGGCCAAUAUGGGCAAGGUGGUCUGUGAUGCCAACUUUGAUAACAUCCGCUGUGUGGCACACAAGUUGCACAUUGUUGUCAGGGAUGCCUUGGAGGGGGACAGGGCUGCCGGUGAUGGCGCCAGCCAGCACCACCAGCAAGCUCAUUUCCAAAUGCAGGAAGGUGGCAGCUACCUCCACUGGAGCAUCAAGGGGGGCAAGAAGCUGUGGGACAAACAAACAGAGCUGAACAUCCUGCAACACAAAAUCAUGGAGGAUGUGGAGAUUAGGCAGAACUCCACAUUCCUGAUGCUGGAGAGGCUGGUGGAGCAACAGAAGGCCAUCCAUGAGAUCGCCCUGCUCUGGGAGAUUGGGGCUGGUCACCCCCUGAACAAAGUUAUGUGGGAUACCAUCUCCCAGAUCUCAGUGGUCCUCAAGCCCUUCCUUUAGGCCCCCAAGAGCCUCGGUGCUGCUGCUGCCCUCCUUAGCCAGGUGAUCCCCACAGUGAGGGAACUUCAGAGACGAAUGGCGAGCUUGCAGUGGAUCAAUGAUCCUGGCUGGGGCCAGCCACUGUCACCAGAUGUGCAGGCACUGGUGAGGCGGCUGAAGGAGGGCAUCAGGAAAUUGCUUGAUAUCCCUUGCAGUCCAGUGCAGUCCACGUGCUGGCUGCCAUGUGUGACCAAAGGGUGAAGGGCCCUGGAUCUGGCAGCCAAACACUGUAUCAGCGGAUGGAGGUGCUGGUAAAGGAAGUCAGGGAGGCAGAAUGACAGAGGCGGGGGGACGUGGAACAGGGGGAUACACUGUCUCAUGCUAGCACAUCAUCCACAAGCCAAUCUUGAGCUCCACCACAGGUGCAUGCCUUCUGUGGUGGGGUCCAGAGCCACCAGACCCCAGCAUGAGGCAGGUAGUGCUCACCCCUUGGUGGCUGCCUAUGUUGCCGAGGAUGUGGAGCCACUGGUGUGUGACCCCUUGGCCUACUGACCAGUGUGCCGAGUGAGAGGGUGUUGAGCAUCCCUGGGGAUGUAGUGACACCCCACCGCACCUGCUUGGACGGUGGUUUGGUGAAGCAGCUGGUGUUCCUGAAGGUGAACCUCCCGCUGCUGGGGUUCCCCAAGCUCCAGGUGUAGAUGGACUGAGUGCCACCCUCCUCACUCUGUCCACGCCUAUUUCCUUUUUUCCUCUUUCAAAAACCAGGUAAUGCCCCGCUGUCAGCUUGAGGGGGCACUAACUGCAUCACCAGCCAACAGGGGAAGAACAUGUCCCUGGAGAGCUCUUACUCCUGCCAGGAUGAACUUGGAGGUGUCAUGUGCUCAGAACGGGCUACCAUUGCAGUAUGUUUCAUCAAAAUCAAGUCAGAAAUGACAAAGUUAUAGCCUGUUUUGAACUUCCCCAUUAUAGCCUAUGGGCGGAACGUCGAAACAGGCACGAAAUGGGAAACUCUUGACGAAGCAACACAGAACAGCUGCUGUGACUCGAAACAAAAGUCGGGGCACACUCUGCAACUUCACUGGAACAUAGAUGUGUCUGUAUGCCCUGGUCCUAACUUCUCAUGUUCACUAGGUUGGCCACCUGAGUGUAGCAUUGAGCAGCGGACUUUGGUCCUAUAACAUCUGCAGAGUGAUUGUGACUGUGAGUGUGAGUGUGUGUGUGUUAGAGCUCUUUUGAAUCUUAUAAUCAAUAAACAUGUCAUCUUGACAUAUCUCCCUCAUAAGGUCUCGCUCAUCACUCGAGGCAGCUGGUCAUUUGUGCAACACAGAGGCAGCCACAUGUGAUGCCAGCCUCAUCACUCCUUUGUGCCUUAUCUGCAUUAGUCCAAUGGGCAGCUAGGCUUGGAUGAAAUUUCCUUAUUUAGCUGCCUACAGCGGAGUUCAAAAUCAUCUGGCCCCUUUGCAGCCAUUGUGCAGGUUGCAUGCAGAGCACAGUGCUAUGACAUCUGGCCCACGGGGGUGGACUUUGAUGGCAGCAGCAUAAAUAGUUGUGGCUGUCACAGUGGUGGCAACUAGUUCUGCCACCAGGUUCCUCACUGUCCUCUUCCUGGGCCAGACGGCAUGGCUCCUCAGUCUAGAACCACCUGGUAGGUGCUAUAUUUGAGAGCCUUGGCCUGCAGUAUUAAUUUGUGAUUUGAAUAUUUGAGGUAAUGACUUGGUGUCAGCUGUGACUUUGACUUGGUGAUACCAUUGCUCUGUUGUUAAAAAGGUUGGCGAAAUGAUGGAGCUAAUUUAUUGUAAAACACUAAAGUGAGUAU